UAGAUAAAUGUUGCUUUGUGAUGUUUUUAUCCUCUAAAGCUGAUAACAUUCGGAACAAUGAUCCUCCCAAUGCUCCUGACACUCAUUGUGAGGUGGCCUUGCUCCAGAGACUGUUGAGUGUAUUCACUGAACGAUUUCUCAAGGAACGACGCAUCACCUCCUGGAACCCCAAGAGAUCCUCUUCAGGCUUCCUCAAACUGGAGCACACACAAAUUCUCUUUUCAGAGAGGUGGAGGACAGAGAGACCCUGUCUGCUGAACACGGCUGUGGCACAAGAAAAUGUGGCAGCACAUCUGCCAGAGUGUGGGAGAAGCCCAAGCUGUUAUCCAGUGUUGUGACUGACGACCUCGUCCCUUCUUCUGUGCUGAAUUUGAUGUCAUCAUGUCCUCCAUAGCAGAGAUGCCAUGACUGCUGGAUUCUUCCAGCCAUUGCCACCAACAACUGUUGUGGUGGAUAAGGCUCUUUCCCAUUGUGAGUCAUUAAGUGUCUGUCCAGGAAAGAGUUGCUGUGGUCACAAUUAAUGAAAUGAAGAUGGCGGCACCAGGACUGUCCUGUCAAGCAUUUUUAAGAAUUCUGGAUCAGCGAACUGUCUGCUUUGGUUGUGCUGGCAAGAUCUCAGGAGACAGUUUUCAGAAACGUUUUUUGAGCGGGAGGCUGUGCGAUUCAAGGUGGACAAUAUAUGCAAGUAAGAGACUUCAUCUGCAUGCACUCC